rnacentral:rRNA from 1 species
AGAUUGAACGCUGGCGGCAGGCCUAACACAUGCAAGUCGAGCGGCAGCACGGGUACUUGUACCUGGUGGCGAGCGGCGGACGGGUGAGUAAUGCCUAGGAAUCUGCCUGGUAGUGGGGGAUAACGGCUCGGAAACGGACGCUAAUACCGCAUACGUCCUACGGGAGAAGCAGGGGACCUUCGGGCCUUGCGCUAUCAGAUGAGCCUAGGUCGGAUUAGCUAGUUGGUGGGUAAUGGCUCACCUAAGGCGACGACGUCCGUAACUGGUCUGGAGACGGAUGAUCAGUC